UACGUAGGGUGCGAGCGUUGUCCGGAUUUAUUGGGCGUAAAGAGCUCGUAGGCGGUUUGUCGCGUCGGCCGUGAAAUCUCCACGCUUAACGUGGAGCGUGCGGUCGAUACGGGCAGACUUGAGUUCGGUAGGGGAGACUGGAAUUCCUGGUGUAGCGGUGAAAUGACGCAGAUAUCAGGAGGAACACCGGUGGCGAAGGCGGGUCUCUGGGCCGAUACUGACGCUGAGGCUCGAAAGCCUAGGGGAGCAAACGGG
rnacentral:rRNA from 1 species